AAAACGCGAAAUUUAAUGUGAAUUGCAGGGUUUGUGAAUCAUCAAGUUUUUGAACGCAUAUGGCACUGUGUGGAAUUCCAUGCAGUAUGUCUGUUUGAGCAUCUGUUUUUAUUUCUAGUUCCUUCUAAGGGGGGUAACUGGGAUUUGGGUUUUAGUGCCAAUUUGCACUUUGCUUGAAAUAUCAAAUGGUCCUUACACAAGCGAUCUGCACUCUUUCCUGAGAACACUUUUCAGUUAAAAGGGUGUAGUGUGUUUUGAAUGUAGGCUGACUACGGAGGGUGACCCAUUAGGUGCCACCCCCACUCUUCACGAUCUCAAAUCAGAUAGGACUACCCGCUGAACUUAA
rnacentral:misc_RNA from 1 species